rnacentral:rRNA from 1 species
UACAGAGGGUGCAAGCGUUAAUCGGAAUUACUGGGCGUAAAGCGCACGUAGGUGGUUUAAUAAGUUUGAUGUGAAAGCCCUGGGCUUAACCUGGGAAUGGCGUUGAAGACUGUUAAACUCGAGUCGGACAGAGGGUUGUGGAAUUUCCGGUGUAGCGGUGAAAUGCGUAGAGAUCGGAAAGAACACCAGUGGCGAAGGCGACAGCCUGGGUCCAGACUGACACUGAGGGGCGAAAGCGUGGGGAGCAAACAGG